rnacentral:rRNA from 1 species
AUACGGAGGAUCCGAGCGUUAUCCGGAUUUAUUGGGUUUAAAGGGAGCGCAGGCGGAUUAUUAAGUCAGUUGUGAAAGUUUGCGGCUCAACCGUAAAAUUGCAGUUGAUACUGGUAGUCUUGAGUGCAGCAGAGGUAGGCGGAAUUCGUGGUGUAGCGGUGAAAUGCUUAGAUAUCACGAAGAACUCCGAUUGCGAAGGCAGCUUACUGGACUGUAACUGACGCUGAUGCUCGAAAGUGUGGGUAUCAAACAGGAUUAGAUACCCUGGUAGUCCACACAGUAAACGAUGAAUACUCGCUGUUUGCGAUAUACAGCAAGCGGCCAAGCGAAAGCAUUAAGUAUUCCACCUGGGGAGUACGCCGGCAACGGUGAAACUCAAAUGAAUUGACGGGG